UUUUUUUUCCAACCUGGCCCACGUGACGUACAGACCCGCCACAAAUACAAAGUUCAUCUGUUCACUCGGACAGAGUCUCCUUUAUAUUUGCACGGCGUACCAACGGAUACAACAGGAUCACAACCACAACCUACAUUUACCAAUCAGCAACCAAUUCAUGUUAUGCAUUUUCAUACAGCUAACAAUCCUUAGAGAUGAUGCAUGCCUCUAAACACUCCUUAGACGCUGGAUGAUGCAAUGCACAGUACAACAAUCAUCCUAUUUAAAAAUACUCCCCACACAGAAGCUUUUGUUUUUAAAAUCUAAUUCAUUCAUUCAUACAUGAAAAUCAUUCAAAAAUCUUUUGAAAUCUGUUUCCCACACGGAAACUCUAUUUUGAAAACCGACUACCUCUAGGGGUAGAAAACCACGAUGCGUAAAUCCAUAAAUACAAAUCCGAGAACCACAAAGUAUACAAACAUCCCAAAACUGAAGAUCCAUAAACCAAAUCCACAAUUCCACAAAUCCACAAAUUCAACCAGCUCACAACAUUCAAA
rnacentral:lncRNA from 1 species